rnacentral:lncRNA from 1 species
AUUCGAAAUUGGAAUGACUCAUUAACUAAUUCUGUUUAGUUAAUCACAAAUUAGAAUAAAUUAUUUUUAUUAUUGGUGUUUUGUUCAGAUAAAUAUAAAAAAUAUAAUUAGAUCAAUAUACUAUUUUAUCUUUAUAAUAUAUUAAUUUAAAUUCAAAUUAAAAUAUUUACAUCAAAAUUUUGAAAUAAUGUCAAAAUUUUAAAUCUAUUUUUUUAAAAAAAUUAAACUUUAAAGUUGAGUGGAUAAUUCAAAAAUAAAAUAAAAUUUCGAUUUAUUCAAAUUCAAACUUAAAAUUAUAAUUUAAAUUUUAAUUUGAAUCCAUGAUUUAAUUUAAGUUUUAAAUAAAAUUUGAAUAAAACUUUAUAUAAAUUAAAAUUUAAUUUAAAUUCAAAUUCGUAAGUUUGAUUUGAAAUACUUGAUUAAAUUUUAAUUUUUAAUUCAAGUUGAAAUUAAAAUUAAAAAUUAAAAAUUUAAUUUCUAAAUUUAAAUUCAUAUUUUAAUUAAAAAAGUUGAAAUAAUAAGUUUAAUCCGAAUAAAUAUCCAUUCCGUCCAGAUUCAGGGCAUGUUUGAUUCAUCUAUUUUAGACUACGAAAUCGAAAUGGAAUUUAUUGAUUCCGAUAGUUGCCGUUUGUUUUAUAGGAAUCGAAUUCCGAUUCCUAUUCCACUCCAGAAUAGGAAUGGCCAAAUCCAUUUAUGAUCCAAUCCGGCUUUGAAUCCCGGAUUGGGUAAUUCCAAAGUAAACUAUUUUAAAUCCUCUUUCAUCAACAUCUACUUCCUCUCCCUUCAUCACUUUCCUCUCUCUUAAUCAAAACUCUCUCUCAAAAAUUUUAAAUUUUAAUUCCAAUUUCCUUUCCAAUAAUGAACCAAAUAUUUUUGGAUGAUUCGUCAUUCCAUUUUUCAUUCCAAAGCAAUCCAAUUUCAUUUCUCAUUCCUAUUCCAAUCAUGAACCAAACAUGCCUUCAACUUCUAAUCCCGCCUCCUAUAAAUG